GCUAGUAAAUUAAUUUGAUUUGAAAUCAAAUCUAUUGUUCUUGUAAAACAAUAUUAGCU
rnacentral:tRNA from 1 species